UGGGGAAUAUUGCACAAUGGGCGCAAGCCUGAUGCAGCCAUGCCGCGUGUAUGAAGAAGGCCUUCGGGUUGUAAAGUACUUUCAGCGGGGAGGAAGGGAGUAAAGUUAAUACCUUUGCUCAUUGACGUUACCCGCAGAAGAAGCACCGGCUAACUCCGUGCCAGCAGCCGCGGUAAUACGGAGGGUGCAAGCGUUAAUCGGAAUUACUGGGCGUAAAGCGCACGAAGGCGGUUUGUUAAGUCAGAUGUGAAAUCCCCGGGCUCAACCUGGGAACUGCAUCUGAUACUGGCAAGCUUGAGUCUCGUAGAGGGGGGUAGAAUUCCAGGUGUAGCGGUGAAAUGCGUAGAGAUCUGGAGGAAUACCGGUGGCGAAGGCGGCCCCCUGGACGAAGACUGACGCUCAGGUGCGAAAGCGUGGGGAGUAAACAGG
rnacentral:rRNA from 1 species